AUGUGAGACCGUUUUUUCCAAACAAGAUUGCUCAUUCCUACAGGAAAUGACCUCAUUCUUGAUGGCUGCUGCUAACUUAUGGUGAGAUGCUGGGUCCCUGCCCAAUACCACAUGGACAUCCAAUCAAUUUACCCAGGGACAAGUCCACUCAAGAGCAUCAUUUAGAAGAGGGAAAAGGCACUGGGGUUAUUUGUUUUUGGAGUAUGUGCUUAAGGAAAUCUAGAGUAUUCCCACGAGCAUUCUGCUGAGAUGAACAAUCAGAUGACCUCGUGUGAGAUUUGGAGGAGAGAAGGAAAUGGAGAGCAUGCGUCUGCCGCUUCUGUGGUUUCUGUCGGCUUUCUCCAUAUUUACGUGCUUGUAACUCUGGCAUGACCUUUGCUCCAGUCUCUACCAGAGGGCGGUGCCUGGAUUGAAGUGGAAAAGCCCUGUUUUCCAGCCAUGACCCAGGGAGCAAGCACUGACUCCUCAGGGGAACAGGAGACCUGCCAACUAGGACCCUGGGAGCCCCCAUGCUGGCAGUGCCCUGGGUCAUCUCAGGCUCAUCAGCAAAUCCUGGGGGGAGAGCGGGGCUGGAGGGCGAAGAAGCCCAGGAGAGUUCCUGGCUCAGAACCCCUCUCUGAGGCUCCCAAUACAGAGCCCAGGCCCCACACCCAGGGCCUCUGAGUAUUUUUGUUUAUUGUAUGUAAAAUACUAGUGUAUUUUUGUUUAAGUCUCACAGGUAAACAGGUUCUCUCAUACUUUGCCAAGGGAAAUGUGAUCUGUGCAAUUUGGCAAUAACUAUCAGAAUUUUAAAAGCUUAUGCCCUUUGACCUAGUAAUUUCACUUCUAAGAAUUUCCCCUGCAGAGAUAUGUAUAUCUUGUAUGAAAUGAAGAGGCUACGAAGACAGGCAACGCCGCAGUGUUUAUAAUAGCGAAGACCAGACACAACCCACAUGUCUAAAGGUUCUGAUUUUUAAAACUGUAGUAUAUCUGUACAAUGAGCACUCCACAUCCUUUAAGAAUGAGGAAGGGCUGUGUGAACUGAAAUGGAACUAUCUCUAAGAUUUAUUAAGUUAAAAAAAUUCAAGAGUAGCACAGUGUGUAGGGUAUGCCAUCAUUUGUAUGAUAUAAGGUCGUAUAUCUGCCAUCUCAAAUGAGGAACAGUGGUUGCCUCUGGGAAGGGAAUUGGAUGGCUAGGAAUGGGGUAGGAAAGAGGUUUGCUUUUCAGAACAUUUUAUACUAUUUAAGUUUUGUAACAAGUGCAUCUAUUUUGACUUAAAAGAUAAAAAAUGAAAAGGAAAGGCUCCACUAGUGAUUCUGAUGCUCACAAAGAUUAAGAACCAAUGCGAAUGAGGAACUCAUGACACCGCCCAGGAGACAGUGAACAUAUCUCUUCAAAUAUCAAAAACCUUUCAGCAGAGGAGCCAUUCACCUUGAAGCUGAGGAGGCAUGGAAGCAGGCCACCUGUGUUCUGUACAGCAUCACCAGGCUGGAAAUCUGCCAUGGCUUUCCUUCACGCCAUCACAAGAGGAUACAGAUGAGGCUGCAGAGGCAUCUUGAUUUGAGAAAAGCAUUUGACUGGAUCUCAUUAAAUUUUAAUCAUUAACUGAAUUCAAAAUAAAUUGAAAACUGGUUGACAGAGCACCAACAAAGGGUGAUGAUAAAUGGUGAUGCAUCUAGAGGGGAGCUAUCUUCCAGGGGACAACUCUAAGGCAAGGACGGAUGGGAUUUAAUGAAGGUGUUAUGUCCCCAGAAGAAGACAAAUAGCACAGCAAGGAACAGAGGAAGGACAGGAGUGAGCAGCCUGAGUAAUUAAUAAACCAUAUUAACAGCUCCUCCAUAAUCAGGCCUUGGUGAUCACAACUGCUUGGAUUUUUUCUUAAGCUUUCUUUGAGUCAGGAAUAGGUUUGAAGCGUCCUAGAGACACACAGCAUGAAUAUUUCAGGUGGACAUUAAAAAGAAAUCUAUAAAUUUACAGCUGGGAGGAUCCUGAGAUCUACUUCGGAUCAGAAACUUUCAAUUACAAGAUUCCCAAGGCCUUACUUCAUUCCCCAGAGAGUAAUCUUUUUAAUAAAUGUCCAAAAGUCAUGGAUUUAAAAAAAAAUCUUUAAACUCAUUAAUGUCCUUUGUUUCCUGCCCAAAUGCAUGCAAACUUUCAUAACACUGGUUUGCUGAGUGGAAGGUUGGUUUUGAGUGAACUGUUUGGCUCAGAUUCAAACUCCAAUGAACAAAUACUUCCAAGUUUACUUGCUGAAUUUCCCAUACAGAGAAGUUCUUCCACUGGGCUUGCCAGAGGAUUUGAAACAGUGGUGAGCCCUGGAAGGAAGGGAAUAUUUACUGGCCCUUGGACAUAAACCCAGCACAGUAAGACUCACAUCAGGCUGAAGGCAGUGCAGUAUGAACCGACCUGAUUUGAGGAAGUUUGCUCUGGGACUCCUCUGAGCUACUAAAUGAGGAGGAGAAGGACUAAUGGGAACACACUGACUCCAUCACAUUAGAAGUUAUAAUAAACAUUUAGAGAACAACCUCAAACCAGCCCAUGUUUUUUUUUUUUUUCUGUCGUUGUCAUUGUUUUGGUUUUUGUUUUUUUGUUUCUUCAGAUAAGAUGGUUUCUCUAAGCACAUGUGUGAUCCCUAAUUCAGCCACAGCCACGGAGUGAAGGAGAGGAAGGGGUAGAAAGGAAAAACCAAGAGAGGAAGAGGAAGGGAGAGAAAGGAAGGAAGGAGAACGGAAGAGAAGUAAGGAAAGUGGGGAAACGCUGAAGGAUUUUUUUGUAUUUGCCUUUUAUUGGUGUAGGAGAGACACUUAUUUACUUGUAAUUUGUAUGUAGUGCUGGGUAUGAGAAGGGGCAGUUGGAAGAGAAGGGAAAGAAUGAAUAUAGGUGAAAGGUAAGAGUGUCAUAGGGUAAGCUGGGAGGCCAGGAAGAGUUUGGACAGACAGCUCAGAGUAGGAAGAGAGUUCAGAGCGGGGAGGGAGACCUGUUGACUCUGGGAAGGGGAAAGGGAAAAAACACUGGCAUCCUGACUGCAGGGAAACAAUGAGGCAGCGGAGAGCAAGUAUCCCUCAUUGCUGAGGGAGCUGCCAAGACCCCAGGCAGCCUCAGUCUGUGGGGUGCGGCCUGUGGGGUGCGAGGAGAGGGGCACAGGCUGGGAGCUCCGGUCAGUCCU
rnacentral:lncRNA from 1 species